AUUGAACGCUGGCGGCAGGCCUAACACAUGCAAGUCGAGCGGAUGAAGGGAGCUUGCUCCUGGAUUCAGCGGCGGACGGGUGAGUAAUGCCUAGGAAUCUGCCUGGUAGUGGGGGAUAACGUCCGGAAACGGGCGCUAAUACCGCAUACGUCAUGAGGGAGAAAGUGGGGGAUCUUCGGACCUCACGCUAUCAGCUGAGCCUAGGUCGGAUUAGCUAGUUGGUGGGGUAAAGGCCUACCAAGGCGACGAUCCGUAACUGGUCUGAGAGGAUGAUCAGUCACACUAGAACUGAGACACGGUCCAGACUCCUACGGGAGGCAGCAGUGGGGAAUAUUGGACAAGGGGCGAAAGCCUGAUCCAGCCAGGCCGCGUGUGUGAAGAAGGUCUUCGGAUUGUAAAGCACUUUAAGUUGGGAGGAAGGGCAGUAAGUUAAUACCUUGCUGUUUUGACGUUACCAACAGAAUAAGCACCGGCUAACUUCGUG
rnacentral:rRNA from 1 species